rnacentral:rRNA from 1 species
GGUGAACGCUGGCGGUGGGCCUAACACAUGCAAGUCGAGCGGAAGGACGGGAAGAGUGUGCCCCUACGGGUGGCGAGUGGCGGGCGGGUGAGGCAUGGAUAGGAAACUUCUUUUACGUGGGGGACAUCGGGGGAAAAGUGAUGAUAAUAGCGCAUACGAUCAACGGCAGGAAUCAGGGGUGCUUGGCGGUUUGGCCGAUUGUUAGAGACGGUGUCGGAUUAGCUAGUUGGCGGGGUAAAGGCCCACCAAGGCGACGAUCCGUAGCUGGUCUGAGAGGAUGAUCAGCCACACUGGAACUGAGACACGGUCCAGACUCCUACGGGAGGCAGCAGUAGGGAAUCUUCGACAAUGGGCGCAAGCCUGAUCCAGCCAUGCCGCGUGAGUGAUGAAGGCCUUCGGAUUGUAAAGCCCUGUUGUUGGGAAAGAAAAACUGCAGAUUAAUCCCUCGCUGUUCUGACGGUACCCAAAGAGUAAGCACCGGCUAACUUCGUG